CUGCCUUUUGGUUUGGAAUAACACGGGGAAACUUGUGCUAAUACCGGAUAAGCCUUUACAGGGAAAGUUUUAACGCCGAAAGAUGAGCCUGCACUUGAUUAGCUAGUUGGUAAGGUAAAAGCUUACCAAGGCCACGAUCAAUAGCUGUUCUUAGAGGAAGACCAGCCACAUUGGGACUGAGACACGGCCCAGACUCCUACGGGAGGCAGCAGUGGGGAAUCUUGCACAAUGGGGGAAACCCUGAUGCAACGAUGCCGCGUGAGUGAAGAAGGCCCUUGGGUUGUAAAACUCUUUCGUCGGGGAAGGAAAAUGACUGUA
rnacentral:rRNA from 1 species